CCUUUUGUUUAGAGCAUUGAUUCCAGGGACAUCCCCCCCCCCCCAGCAUCCAACCACUCCUUUUCUAAUGAAAGUUCCUUAAAUGCCCACCCCAACACAUCUUUAAAAAAAGCAAAAAAUAAGUUUUGACAAGUUUUUCCUCAUUUCUUCUGCAUCUUACCUGUGACUUUAUCAUUAGUGUGCACUGGUCUUUCCAGACUUCUGUAAAUGUACCAGGUGACCUACAAUAACUUUUGUUUUGCAUGGGAAAUGCUGUUUUUCAAAUUCAUCAUUUUCUGCAUACACGCCAUGGAACCCCCCCCGACCCAAACAAAAAUAAAACAAUCUCUAGUAGUUGCAUGACAACAAUGGUGUAGUAGUAGACAUUGAAGUCAAUUUGAGAGUUUGCAGUGUGAGAGUUGUGCAGAAGGUGGAACAUACUUGGCACUGUGGCAAUAAACAGGUGAGUUUUUUUGUGAUGAAAUCAGACAGUUUAUUGAAAUAUAUGGAGGGGUGGGGGUUUCAACUAAUGUAAUAUUGGCAGCACAUUUGUGAACCCACCCACCCCCUUUUCAGAACGCCCAGGGCAUUCUGACGCUCUGAUACAGUAAGCUGCAGGACCUCCCAAACGAGUUAAAAAACAAAAAACAAAACAAAACACUGCUUAUACUUGGAGAAAAUACAGUCCAGUGUAUUCUUGUAAUUCCAGCAACAUUCACUCAGUCCUUCCUUCCUAAACUAAAGUAUUUCUUGAAAGCAAAGGAGAGUAGAGCUAACACUGUUCUAACAGGGUUGUAAAAAAGUGAACUUGUGUUUUAAGAAGAUUUAGCACUGGAGCUUAAAUUCUACCGGCCGUUGCAGUUAAAUUUUGAAGCCUACUGUAAGACUAUUAGAUAAGCUUUAGAAGAGAUAAACAGGGUGUUCUUAGCUCAUCAGCAGCAGGCUUUUAAUCAGAAUUUUCUACAAAUCACACACUCAUUUUUUAUUUGGGAAACAUGGCAUAAAUGUCUAAUACUAGAUGAUGACUAUGUGUGUCUGCCUUACUGAGGUUUGUAGAAUCCUGCUUCACUCCUGUUGGACACAUCUUUGUGGAAUUUUAUGCACAUGCUUGGUUUUUACAUGAACGAUCAACAACCCUAAAGGUUUUUGGGAUUUUUUUAGAGAAGCCCCACUUUUUCCUCAUUGGGCCUCCCAGGUUUCUUUUACUAUAGCUUCAACCUGUAUGUUCCUGAGGUUUCUUGUUUGAGCGGGUUUAUCCCUUUGCCUUUCAUGGUCUUAGAUUGUUGACCUUUGACCUCCAGCACCCAUGGCAUAAAUGGACCACUCUUUUAUUCGAUAUGAACUCAACUGAAGAACACUAUGGAGUGACCAUGGAGUCAUCAGACUGCUGGACACAAUUUCUAACCUCACUUAUCUCCAUUUCCCAGGACCUUCUGUGGUGUAGCAAGUGUUGUUCCUGAUGAUGGGUCUCACUUGCUCCAAGCACAUACAAGACUACAAGGUCAACACUAACACUUUGACAUCAUCACAGCCACCCAGUUAGCUUACGUACAUCAUGUUCUUUAACACAAUGCUGAGAUGUUCAUGUGUUACCUGUCAUUGAGUGAGCUUUUGAAUGAUUUAUUGCUUUUUGUUCCCAGGUAGUGUAAAUACUAAACCUGUAUUGUUAAAGGCUCAUUCAAUACUUCACUUUCCAAGGACAAAAGUCAUCCACCAGACUGUAAAUAAAGAUGGACGCACUUCCAUUCACGUUCACUGUGCAAAAGUGAA